rnacentral:rRNA from 19 species
GAGUACUAGAAUUAAGCCUAUCAGUGGAUGGCUCGGUUCGAGAGCCGAUGAAGGGCGUGCCAAGCUGCGAUAAGCUUCGGGGAGGCGCACGGAGCCAACGAUCCGAAGAUACCCUAAUGGGACAUCCUGACACUUUUGUGUCGAUCCGUAAGGAUUGGAAACGCCCCGAAUUGAAACAUCUUAGUAGGGGCAGGAGAAGAAAUCAAUCGAGAUGUCGUUAGUAGAGGCGAUCGAACACGACAGAGUUCAAACUGAAUCCCGCAAGGGAGAUGUGGUGUUGUAAGCUCACUGUUAUGCUUGUGUCUGUUAAGUGAAAGUCGUCUGGAACGUCGUACCAUAGAGGGUGAUAGUCCCGUACACGUAAACCGGCACAAACUAAGUGAAGUCUUGAGUACCGUGGGUCGGAAUUCUCGCGGGAAUCUGGGAGUCACUAACUUCCAAAACUAAAUACUCCUCGAAACCGAUAGCGUAUUAGUAGCGUGAGCGAAGGCUGAAAAGUAACCCCAGAAAGGUGGUUAAAAGUGCCUGAAAUUGAUAGGUGAUAGCGGGUUAUAGCGUUAAAGGAUCUUCCAUGCGAAGGAACCCGUCGCGAGGCGGUAGUACGGGUAUGGUUGCCAAUGUUAUAACGUACGUUUUGAAGAACGGGCCAGAGAGUUUAUUCUGUUGGCGAAGGUUAACCCGAAAGGGGAGCCGAAGGGAAACCAACAAGUCUGUAGCCUUCGGGUGUGAGACGGCGUAUUAAAAGUGCGCGGAGUCAGCAGGAUAAGACCCGAAGCCUAGUGAUCUAUGCGUGGGCAGGUUGAAGCGUGACGAAAGUUGCGUGGAGGACCGAAUGGGGUUUUGAUAUGCAAAUCAUUCCCGUGACCUGUGUAUAGGAGUGAAAGAUUAAUCGAACUAGGCAUCCGCUGGUUCCUCUCGAAACAUGUCGCAGCAUGACCUGGCUGGAGAUCGAUAGUGAGGUAGAGCACUGAUUGGGGGAGCUGGGCGGGAAACUGCUCACCCCCCUGUCAAACUCCAAACUCCCUAUCAUCGUAGAAGGCUGGAAGUCCGGGCUACGGGGUAAGCUUGUAGUCCGUAAGGGAGACAACCCAGACCGAGGUUAAUGUCCCUCAAUGUAGGUUAAGUGUCAACACUGAAAGCGGUCCUAGGCCAAAGACAACUGGGAGGUGAGCUCAGAAGCAGCUACCCUUUAAAAAGUGCGUAACAGCUUACCAGUCAAGGUUUAGGGCACUGAAAAUGGACGGGGCUAAAACCUACUACAGAGACCUCGGGGCACCGCAAGGUGAUCCAGUAGAGAGGCGUUCUGCAUGGGUGGAAGUUGGGGCGUAAGUUCCAAUGGACCGUGUAGAAAUGAGAAUUCUGGCAAUAGUAGAAGCAUAGUUGGGUGAGAAUCCCAACCGCCGCAGGGGCUAGGUUUCCUUGGCAAUGUUCGUCAGCCAAGGGUUAGUCGGUCCUAAGACGUACCGUAAUUCGAGUACGCCAACAGGGAAACAGGUUAAUAUUCCUGUACCAUCUAGUUUUAAGCGCAAGCCCUGACGCUUUGGGAUAUGCUGGGCGGAGUUAUCGCUCCGUCUAAGCGUCGAAUUCUGUGGAGUACCGUAAUGGUGAGAAGCAGAGGAAUACGUGAUGGGGAAACCCAGCAAAUUCCUGGAGCCCGUGAAAAGGGAAUUAGAUGUCCGUACCGAGAACCGACACAGGUGCCCCUCGCUGAAGAGGCGAAGGCGUGUCGGAUUUAAUUGUGUUAAGGGAACUCGGCAAAUUGGCCCCGUAACUUCGGAAUAAGGGGUGCCUGCCUGGAGAUCAGGCAGGUCGCAGUGACCAGGGAGCUCUAACUGUCUAAUAACAACAUAGCAGACUGCAACUCCGUAAGGACUAGUAUAGUCUGUGAUUCCUGCCCAGUGCAAGUAUCUGAACACCCGGUUCAACGGGACGAAGGACUUGUAAACGGCGGGGGUAACUAUGACCCUCUUAAGGUAGCGUAGUACCUUGUCGCUUAAUUGGCGACUUGCAUGAAUGGAUUAAUGAGAGCUCUACUGUCCCUAACACAAAUCCGUUGAACUUUUUGUCCUAGUGCAGAGACUAGGGACUCCUAAUGGGAAGUGAAGACCCCGUGGAGCUUUACUGCAGCCUGUCGUUGAGUUACGGUGUUACUUGCGCAGUGUAGAUGGGAGGUGUUAUAUCCGUUCUUUUCGGAGGACGGGGAGCCAACAAUGAGACACCAUCCUUGUUACUCUGUAACUCUCACUCCUUUGUGAGGACAUCGAUAGGUAGGCAGUUUGGGUGGGGCGCCACACCCUCGAAAAAAUAUCAAGGGUGCCCUAAGGUCAACUCAUGUGAGUCAGAAACUCACAGGAGAGUGUCAAGAGCAUAAGUUGGCCUGACGCGAUCAUGAAAAGCAAAUGAUCGCGAGAGGAAACUCGGGUCUAACGAACCAAUAUGUCCUUUUGGUGAGGGCUAUUGACUACAGAAAAGCUACCCCGGGGAUAACAGAGUCGUCGCCGGCAAGAGCACAUAUCGACCCGGCGGCUUGCUACCUCGAUGUCGGUUCUUUCCAUCCUGGCUGUGCAGCAGCAGCCAAGGGUGAGGUUGUUCGCCUAUUAAAGGGGAUCGUGAGCUGGGUUUAGACCGUCGUGAGACAGGUCGGUUACUAUCUAUUAGGAGUGUCAGGAGUCUGAAGGCAAGAAUGAAAUAGUACGAGAGGAACUUUCACUCGUCGCCACUGGUUGAUCGGUUGUCUGACAAGGCAAUGCCGAGCGGCUACGCGAUAAGGGAUAAAAGCUGAAAGCAUCUAAGCUUGAAACCCAGCCUAAAAAGAGACUCCGUUGAGGACAUGGAUAAAAGAUCCGUUUGAUAGACUUGGGAUGUAAGCACGAAGGUUACGACGUGUUCAGUCCGCAAGCACUAACGUCCAAACUCUAGUACUU